UCGGGCAACAUGAACCCAAUCCCUCCACAUCUGGACCUCCUGGGGUCAGGCAGGUUUGUACGCACUAAGAUUUUAAAUCAGAGUCAUCCCUUGAGGGAAGAUGAUGAAAUAAGACUUUUCCAUGAAUAAUGCCAAAGGCAGAGUUCUGGAGAACUCAUUUCUACUCUGAGGUCAGGCUGGUGCCAGUCCUCUUCUGGGGAUCCAAAAUGCUGCCCCAUCUCCUGUUUUGAGCUCAUUUCCUAAGAUCUGACAAUGUGUGUUCUUUAACUUUGAAUAGGCAAAAGGUGUCAGAGGCUGGACACCAGUGGCAGGGUUGGCUUCAUCUUCCCUCGUCAGCGCUGGGAGUCACGGACCAUCGGAACGUCUCAAGGUGAGCAAAGCUGGAAGAAGAGAAAGGAAACCGGAAAAGGAGGUGGAAGAGCUGAAAAAAGCCCUGCAGGAAAAAACAACAGCGUUAGAGAAGGCAGACGCUGAAUUACAUGAGGCCCAGAGGCAGGUAGUGGAGCUGCGUGCUCUGCAGCUGAAGGAAGAACAGAGGAGCAAAGACACCAUCAGGAGGGCUGAAAGGCUGCAGAAACAACUGUCCCAGCUCCAAAGGGAAAAUCGUUCCCUCCGUGAGCAGUUGGCAGAGAUGGAGGAGAUCGGCAAAGAGCUAAUGGUGAGUGGUGGUUUUCCAUGUGAGGGGGACAGUGUAGAACACGAGUGAGGUGAGCACUGACUGAGAAUGAAUGCCAGGAGCCAUUCCCAAGGCUGUCUGGUGCUUCUGCAGGGAUGAGGUCCUUGUGUGGGAGUCCAUCCCCUGCGUUGGUUCUGGUUUGGUUGGAAUGGCAGGCCUCGAGGAGUCCUUACAGACAGUCGGUUGUAGAGAAUGCUGCAGCAUGCACUGGUUUUCCUGCGUGCAGCAGCAGAACAGCGUGAAGGCUGAUGCCCAGAGGGGCUCUAGAAGCCGCUGAUCCUGGGGAAGGGGCUGCCGUCCAACUCUGGCACUUGCAGUGGCAUCCGGUGACACUUUAGCCUUGCCUUAAGACACCAGCCAGACCCCACAAAGGUUCAGUCUCAGUAUCUCCUGAGAAGAAAACGCUGGGCAAUAGCAUCUUCAUUAAAAGGUGACAUUUCUUGGGUUGUCUUCACGGGCCGGCAGUGUCUGGAGAUCUUCAGCUGUGCCGAUGCAAUCUUCUUCAGUGGAGAUUGCUUCACCUGUGAUGUCCUUAUAAAAUGGAUCUCAUUAGAUUAACGAGGAACUGGAAGGGCAAAUACAGAUUUUUGCUUCUGACUUUUCUUUCCACACUCCUGCGAUGUUGCUUCCCCAGAGACAACUGGAACAGCUGCAGGGAGAGUUGUAUGAUGCUUCCAUGAAGCAGCGUGCGGCAGAAAGUUCUUGCAACUUCUCUAGACAGCUCUGUGAUUUCUGGAAGCAGAAUAACUUCUUCUGGCUAGACAUCUUGGAGAAAACUAAGGCGCUGGUAGGCAAAGUCUGUCAGGACAUUCAUAUUUUCGAAGCUGUUCUUUUCCUCCCUGCCUCCUGUCCUGUCGCCUUGAAAACUCAGCUGGCACUUCUGCUUUAGAACCAGGCACUGCUCAAGCUCUGCUAGAAGAGACAACCACCACUGACACUGCGUGGAGGAAACCGCAGGAGGAGAAAAUGAGAGACUGCAAUCAAAAUUGCAGAGAGCGGUCAGCGUCACUUACUGGAGGCAAACAGCAUCACCAGUGCUGCCCAACCUUCAUCUUCCUCGCACCCGCACCUGGGAGAAGAAGCACAGCAGCGCGGCAUUGCAGACUUUGUCCCUCCAAAAUCAGCUCAAAAGGAAUGAGAAAAACAUACCGUGGAAAUUUUUAUGAGGGACUUGUGGGAGCGGUGUUGACAUUUUUAGUAAGGUAUAAAUAUGAGCUUGUAACAAUAAACCAGGUCUUAGCUUGAAACGAAA